rnacentral:rRNA from 1 species
GCAGUCGAGCGGUAGCACAGAGAGCUUGCUCUCGGGUGACGAGCGGCGGACGGGUGAGUAAUGUCUGGGAAACUGCCUGAUGGAGGGGGAUAACUACUGGAAACGGUAGCUAAUACCGCAUAACGUCGCAAGACCAAAGUGGGGGACCUUCGGGCCUCAUGCCAUCAGAUGUGCCCAGAUGGGAUUAGCUAGUAGGUGGGGUAACGGCUCACCUAGGCGACGAUCCCUAGCUGGUCUGAGAGGAUGACCAGCCACACUGGAACUGAGACACGGUCCAGACUCCUACGGGAGGCAGCAGUGGGGAAUAUUGCACAAUGGGCGCAAGCCUGAUGCAGCCAUGCCGCGUGUGUGAAGAAGGCCUUCGGGUUGUAAAGCACUUUCAGCGGGGAGGAAGGCGGUAAGGUUAAUAACCUUGGCGAUUGACGUUACCCGCAGAAGAAGCACCGGCUAACUCCGUGCCAGCAGCCGCGGUAAUACGGAGGGUGCAAGCGUUAAUCGGAAUUACUGGGCGUAAAGCGCACGCAGGCGGUCUGUCAAGUCGGAUGUGAAAUCCCCGGGCUCAACCUGGGAACUGCAUUCGAAACUGGCAGGCUAGAGUCUUGUAGAGGGGGGUAGAAUUCCAGGUGUAGCGGUGAAAUGCGUAGAGAUCUGGAGGAAUACCGGUGGCGAAGGCGGCCCCCUGGACAAAGACUGACGCUCAGGUGCGAAAGCGUGGGGAGCAAACAGGAUUAGAUACCCUGGUAGUCCACGCCGUAAACGAUGUCGAUUUGGAGGUUGUGCCCUUGAGGCGUGGCUUCCGGAGCUAACGCGUUAAAUCGACCGCCUGGGGAGUACGGCCGCAAGGUUAAAACUCAAAUGAAUUGACGGGGGCCCGCACAAGCGGUGGAGCAUGUGGUUUAAUUCGAUGCAACGCGAAGAACCUUACCUGGUCUUGACAUCCACAGAACUUUCCAGAGAUGGAUUGGUGCCUUCGGGAACUGUGAGACAGGUGCUGCAUGGCUGUCGUCAGCUCGUGUUGUGAAAUGUUGGGUUAAGUCCCGCAACGAGCGCAACCCUUAUCCUUUGUUGCCAGCGGUUAGGCCGGGAACUCAAAGGAGACUGCCAGUGAUAAACUGGAGGAAGGUGGGGAUGACGUCAAGUCAUCAUGGCCCUUACGACCAGGGCUACACACGUGCUACAAUGGCAUAUACAAAGAGAAGCGACCUCGCGAGAGCAAGCGGACCUCAUAAAGUAUGUCGUAGUCCGGAUUGGAGUCUGCAACUCGACUCCAUGAAGUCGGAAUCGCUAGUAAUCGUAGAUCAGAAUGCUACGGUGAAUACGUUCCCGGGCCUUGUACACACCGCCCGUCACACCAUGGGAGUGGGUUGCAAAAGAAGUAGGUAGCUUAACCUUCGGGAGGGCGCUUACC